CCUGUUUCCAAGACACCAGAGUUAUUGAGGAUGGGAGGUAAGCCAGAAGAAGCUGUUGGCAAGAGGAGCAACUUUUCUGCAUGGGUAACAAGUGUGGCAGAGCAGUGUGAGGUUGAUCAACAUAUCUUUGAUUCCUCCGGCUGGAGCUUUUAAGUCCUAUUUGUGGCAAAUGCCUGCAAAUCACAAAAUAUACCCUAUGAAAUAAAAUAUCAGUGUUUUCUUAUUAAAAAUAUUUUCCAAC
rnacentral:lncRNA from 11 species